GCUAUAGCCCCACUAUCAACACCCAAAGCUGAAGUUCUAUUUAAACUAUUCCCUG
rnacentral:tRNA from 1 species